rnacentral:tRNA from 1 species
GUGGGGGAUAUAGCUCAGUUGGUAGAGUGCUUGCCUCAAAUGGACAAGACCCUGGGUUCAAUCCCCAGCACCACA